rnacentral:rRNA from 1 species
ACUUAAAUUGAAGAGUUUGAUCAUGGCUCAGAUUGAACGCUGGCGGCAGGCCUAACACAUGCAAGUCGAGCGGUAGCACAGAGAGCUUGCUCUCGGGUGACGAGCGGCGGACGGGUGAGUAAUGUCUGGGAAACUGCCUGAUGGAGGGGGAUAACUACUGGAAACGGUAGCUAAUACCGCAUAAUGUCGCAAGACCAAAGUGGGGGACCUUCGGGCCUCAUGCCAUCAGAUGUGCCCAGAUGGGAUUAGCUAGUAGGUGGGGUAACGGCUCACCUAGGCGACGAUCCCUAGCUGGUCUGAGAGGAUGACCAGCCACACUGGAACUGAGACACGGUCCAGACUCCUACGGGAGGCAGCAGUGGGGAAUAUUGCACAAUGGGCGCAAGCCUGAUGCAGCCAUGCCGCGUGUGUGAAGAAGGCCUUCGGGUUGUAAAGCACUUUCAGCGGGGAGGAAGGCGGUGAGGUUAAUAACCUCAUCGAUUGACGUUACCCGCAGAAGAAGCACCGGCUAACUCCGUGCCAGCAGCCGCGGUAAUACGGAGGGUGCAAGCGUUAAUCGGAAUUACUGGGCGUAAAGCGCACGCAGGCGGUCUGUCAAGUCGGAUGUGAAAUCCCCGGGCUCAACCUGGGAACUGCAUUCGAAACUGGCAGGCUAGAGUCUUGUAGAGGGGGGUAGAAUUCCAGGUGUAGCGGUGAAAUGCGUAGAGAUCUGGAGGAAUACCGGUGGCGAAGGCGGCCCCCUGGACAAAAACUGACGCUCAGGUGCGAAAGCGUGGGGAGCAAACAGGAUUAGAUACCCUGGUAGUCCACGCCGUAAACGAUGUCGAUUUGGAGGUUGUGCCCUUGAGGCGUGGCUUCCGGAGCUAACGCGUUAAAUCGACCGCCUGGGGAGUACGGCCGCAAGGUUAAAACUCAAAUGAAUUGACGGGGGCCCGCACAAGCGGUGGAGCAUGUGGUUUAAUUCGAUGCAACGCGAAGAACCUUACCUGGUCUUGACAUCCACAGAACUUUCCAGAGAUGGAUUGGUGCCUUCGGGAACUGUGAGACAGGUGCUGCAUGGCUGUCGUCAGCUCGUGUUGUGAAAUGUUGGGUUAAGUCCCGCAACGAGCGCAACCCUUAUCCUUUGUUGCCAGCGGUCCGGCCGGGAACUCAAAGGAGACUGCCAGUGAUAAACUGGAGGAAGGUGGGGAUGACGUCAAGUCAUCAUGGCCCUUACGACCAGGGCUACACACGUGCUACAAUGGCAUAUACAAAGAGAAGCGACCUCGCGAGAGCAAGCGGACCUCAUAAAGUAUGUCGUAGUCCGGAUUGGAGUCUGCAACUCGACUCCAUGAAGUCGGAAUCGCUAGUAAUCGUAGAUCAGAAUGCUACGGUGAAUACGUUCCCGGGCCUUGUACACACCGCCCGUCACACCAUGGGAGUGGGUUGCAAAAGAAGUAGGUAGCUUAACCUUCGGGAGGGCGCUUACCACUUUGUGAUUCAUGACUGGGGUGAAGUCGUAACAAGGUAACCGUAGGGGAACCUGCGGUUGGAUCACCUCCUUACCUUAAAGAA